AACUUAACAUUAUGGAGGAGACAAGAUGUUAAACAAAAGGUUAUUUCUUAUAUUAUACUUGAAGAAGCUGAAUAUAAACUAAGAGAUGCUAUCAGUAGCAAAGAGAAA